rnacentral:rRNA from 1 species
AUCAAUGCCGCGUGAGUGAAGAAGGCCUUCGGGUUGUAAAGCUCUUUUGUCAGGGAAGAAACACCGGCUCUAACACAGUCCGGGAAUGACGGUACCUGAAGAAUAAGCACCGGCUAACUACGUGCCAGCAGCCGCGGUAAUACGUAGGGUGCGAGCGUUAAUCGGAAUUACUGGGCGUAAAGCGUGCGCAGGCGGUUGUACAAGACAGGCGUGAAAUCCCCGGGCUUAACCUGGGAAUGGCGCCUGUGACUGUACGGCUAGAGUGUGUCAGAGGGGGGUAGAAUUCCACGUGUAGCAGUGAAAUGCGUAGAUAUGUGGAGGAAUACCAAUGGCGAAGGCAGNCCCCUGGGAUAACACUGACGCUCAUGCACGAAAGCGUGGGGAGCAAACAGGAUUAGAUACCCUGGUAGUCCACGCCCUAAACGAUGCUGACUAGUUGUUCGGGAUUUACAUCCUGAGUAACGUAGCUAACGCGUGAAGUCAGACGGCUGGGGAGUACGGUCGCAAGAUUUAAACUCCAAGCGAAUUGACGGGGACCCGGACAAGCG